UUUAGUUGGAGUGUAGAUAAUCUUAAAAAUGUGUUAACUUCACAUAUAUAAUGAGUUUACUAAUCAAUCAAUUAUAUGUUUUGUUUAUACCUAUGAGCCUAUAACAUGAUCUCAUUUCAGCUUGCAUCGAUUAUAUACAUAUAUGCAUAAAUCUUGAUGAAUUAUCAUAGUAUGUUAAUAUAACAUACACCUCCUACCAUAGUGUGCUUGACUGCUUGACAUGUGUUUAUCUCAAUUAAGAGUCCAUGAUUAUUGAAAUUAUUGCAGGUGUGAUGUGUGGCUCCUAUUUUCUGCUAAUAAGAGGUCAUAUCAGACAUGUGAGAUUACUUGCCUUUGUUGAGUAAGACAUGUGAGAGUUACAGCAAAACUAAAAAAAAAUGACGUGUUUGAUUGUUAACUUGCUAUAUCGGUAUCUUUUCGCUUUUUCGAAAACUUUAAGAACAAAAAAAUAGUGAUUUUGGGGUAUUUACAUAUUCAUGACUUUUGGUGUUCAUACAUAUAUAAAAAGAAAAAAGCCAAUUUUUGUCUCAUCUCCAUGCAAAGAUCGUUGAAUGUUUCGAUCAAUCUCAAUUUCUCAAAGCUAAUGAAUGUCAUAUUUUUUUCCAACCUACCAUUAAUUGCAUAAUUUAUUGGUUUUGACAUUCUUUCUUUUGUAUUUUGUGAUUUAUAGUCAUAAGUACUCAAUGAAAUUGACUCCAAAAUUUCAUAUUCUGAUUCGGAUUUCUAAAGCUAUAAGGGAUCCUAACGCUAUAGCAAUGACAUCAGUUUAUACGACCCAACAAAGCAGGCUCAAAUUGACAAGUUCAUGGUACAACAGCUUGAUCAAACUGUUAAUGAGAGAGAUGAUAGGAGGAACGGGCUGCGCUCGCAGAUUGAUGCAAGAUUGAUUGCAGCCGCAGCAAGAGAAAGGAUUUGAAAAGUUUCAUUUAUUGUUGAGAUUUGUCUUUUUAACUAUUAUCAAUGCUUAAUGUGUUGAGAUAGUAAUAUUCAAGGCAUAAGUGCUCAUUCAAUUUGGAACUGAGGCAUGAGGCAAUAAAAAUGUAUUUUCAUGUCUUUUUAACAUAUAGUUCUAUUUGUUGUUUGGAAAGAUGUGACAU